AUUAGAGCAAGGAGUUAUUUGGUGAAAGCUUGGCGAAAAUAUCUCUCAGUAGUUGGUCAGAGAUUGUGUCUAUUAUAGUUUGGAGCCAGCAUCGACAUGAUAGAAGGCCUGAAUAUGGUUCGUCUUCCCUGGUUGGUCUUUAUUCUGCAAGGUUUCCUGCUAAAUGUAAGUUCUUCAAGUGCAGAAGAAGAACGAAUAGCAAUUGUAUCGACGAAUACAAGAUUUUAUCUCUCAAAGGGACCAAGCUACAACUUCAAUCAGUUACCCAUAUCUGUCGGGAGCCCAGGAGGACUUGACUUUGAUGGGGACAUCGAUAUGAUAUUUUGGACAGAUUCCAACUCUAGAACGAUAAAACGAGCAAAACUUGAUGACACACGAUCGACUCGCGUUAUUUCUACUGAGAGUGACCCAGGAGCAAUCGCAAUUGACGAGAAUGAAAAUCUGAUAUUUUGGACCCACUACGUCUUGAAUCGCUAUAAAAGGACAAUUGAAAGAGUCACAUACGAUGGCCGCGAAAAGACUAUAAUCAUUGAAGGAGAUCGAUACUUGUCUGUUCACUCCAUUGUGUUGGACAAAAUCACAAGGACACUUUACUGGACACAAGGAAGGGCUGUUCGAAGUUGUUCAUAUGAGGGAUUGAAUAAGAGAACACUGUUUACUUUAUCUUCAAAUAUUGGAGAUUUGGCCCUCAACGUGGACGGAGGUAUAUUGUUCUUCUGUGAAGGCUCUUUUGUGAAGACGUAUGAUUUGAUCUCUGGUGGAUCGCAAGUAACGAGUUACGAGCGACUGUCUUCUUCUACUUGCAGGAGUUUGUCAUGGUUUGAAGGUGAUUUAUACAUGGCCUCUGGUCGUCCCACUUUCAGCAUCAAGGAUGGUGACACGGAUAGCGUGUCACAGGUUGCUGUAAGUCCGUCACGUCCUUCUACGUCGAAAAUCGUCGUCGGCAGGAGAUCAGCCCAAGAUCUUGGAGGCGGAAGGUGCGACUUCGAUAGCAUCAAAUGUCAAUGGCGAUUCGAAAACUCCAAGUCGAACGACUUGGACUGGAUAAAAUGGGGCCCCGAACAGGCCACUAGGAACAGAACAGGACCGAAUAAGACGGAUCGCACUGCACUGAGCCAAAUUGGUCAAUACAUGCUUCUGAACACGAGCGGUUCUGGUCACUUACCUGGCGAUUUGGCGUUUCUCAUCAGUGAACCUGUCGACGCCUCUGGCCCAACACCCAAAUGCGUCCAAUUCUGGUACUACAUGCAUGACGUCAUCAACAGUUCCCUCACGGUCCUCUUCGAACAGGUUCUAAACGAGACCACUGGUGAGACCAAGCUUACUCCUCUAUGGUCUGCGUUUGGCAGCCAGCCAAAGGAGUGGGUCGGUGCAGAGUUCGAAGUUUGGACAAGGGGAGUCGGACGCGUUCAUAUCAGUGCGGUAGUGGGUGAUCCUGCGUUGAACAUCAUUGGUAUCGAUGACGUUUACUUUGGAGAAUGUCAUCAGGCCCCCCCGGGGGAUAGUAUACCCCCGUAGAUCCGCCACUGGCAGUUUCGUCCGACGUUUGAGAUCUGAAGAAAUAUCGCAAACAUGUCGUUUGUCCAGAGAUACAGACGAAACUGCUGUUUCCAUUCACCGACCCUCGACAAAGACUUCAUUAUCUUGGACAUAUUGAAGGGCAUUUGACAAUAUGUUCUCUACGUUUCAGAAAGUGUCUGUUGCUAAAACUUUCCUGAUCAUUCCUGCUGCCAUUAGGAUCACCAUUUUCUCCUCUGACAGAUUCCGGGCUGGUGUGUGAAGACUCGUCAAUGACUGUUUACCUGGAUAAAGCGAGGCUUGGAAUCUCCAGCCACGAUAAGGUCUUAUUCAAGAACUCUCUCUGUCAAGGGGAUGAGUAUGAUGCAUACACGGUUGCCAUAACGACGCCAUAUAAUGGAUGUGGUACAACAGUCACCGAGAGUGAUGACGUCAUUAUUUUCUCAAACGAAGUAAAGGUGAUGAUUCAGUCGGACCUCCGCAGCUCCGGUGUGUCUAUCCGGAUAAACUGUUCGUUGAGUCGGACCUAUCACGUGGCAAUGACGUACUUGGCGCAUGCGUGGAUCAGGUAUAUCAAGGAGGACGGCUACGGCAAUUUCUCUGUUCGCAUUCGUCAAUAUACGAAUGUGAAUUUCGAAGAUGCAUAUCCAGGCAAUUCCUUCCCUCAACAGGUGGGCACAUUCGAAAUAGAAUUUCAAUUUCUCAUCCCGAAUAUAAAGAAAAAUUUCUCAUGUGAUGGGUGUCUUCUUGCAUUGUCGUAUUUCAAGCUGAAAAUGGUUUAAGAAAGAACUGUGAUUAUUAAAUCCUUUGUCAAUUAAGGUAAUUUCAUGAAUAAUGAAUUUUCACUACAAAGUGACAUUUUGGAGGAAUGUAGCCAAAUGAUACGGGAAGUUCACUUUGACGCUUCUGAAAAUAACGGAAUGCAACAUAAUUCCAUUUUUCUGGUAUUGACAUAUCACUCACCUGAAAUCCAAUCACGGCGGAGCAAUUAAUUAUGGAAAACCCGGGUAGUGCACUAUGUAAUGCGUGGGUGUACACAUUGAGUGAUCGUUGGUAUGUCGGCAUUUAAAAUUCAUUGAGGGUCUUUUCACACGUGAAUCUUGAAUUAUCAUUGUAAUGAUGAUUGCUAUUGUAAUCGUGACUGUGAUUAGCGUUUGUGAUUUGUUCUAGUUUGGUGCUAAAUAUUCGUCAUUAGUUAUUUGUCUCUGGAAUCAUCAUUCAAAUUACGAUUUUUUUUAAUGGGUGAAAGGGCGGUUAGUGUGUUCUACACUGGGCUUCCAGCAACACCUAUUUUGAAAUUUUUGAACCAACUCGGUUCUAGAUUAGUUCUAGAUUAAGAUUCAGGUAAUGUUUGUAAAUCAUUUCAUAUUCUAAUUUCUCUUGUGAUUAGACGAUUUCUUUAUUAUUUUAUUCUGUCAUUUGAAACUAAUCCCCUCCGUAGGUUGACAUAGAUAAUAUGAUUUACAUGGCAACAGAAAUGGUCGCCAUAGUAGAUGUUGUGGAUACCAUACAAAAUACCCGUUGCUGGGCAACGCCUUCACCCGAUCCUUUGGACGCUAUCAACCGUGAUAUCAUAAGCGACGGGUAAAAAAUGAAUUUCAUAUCUCAUGUGUCAUCUUUACUAUUAUUAUUACUAUCAUCAUCAUUAUUAUUAUUAGUGGCAGUAGUAGUCGUAGUUUAAGUAAUAGUGGUAAAAGUAGCAUUGUUACUAUUGUUAUUAUUAUAAUUAUUAUCAAUUUCCAAUUAUCAUGGCUACCACUAUCAUAAACAUCGUAAUUAUCAUUUUUAUCAAUAGAACUUCUAUAAUUACUUGCUAUCGGUAUACUAUUUUUGCCAUCAGAAUCAAAAUCAUGAUUUCGGUUCAUGUUACCAUUCUUCUUCUUACUAUUAUAUUGACUUAAUUGAUAUCUGACACAGCCAUUUUCUUAUGCAUUCAAGUUUACAAAAAAAAAAUAGUUAAAGCAAUCUGC